GAUAAACGCUGGCGGCGCACAUAAGACAUGCAAGUCGAACGGAAGUCGUUACGAAACGGAGUGAAGAUUUAUCUGAAUGAAGUUUUGUAACAGUGGCUUUAGUGGCGGACUGGUGAGUAACACGUAAGCAACCUGCCUAUUAGAGGGGAAUAACAAUGAGAAAUCAUUGCUAAUACCGCAUAAGCUUGUAGUAUCGCAUGGUACAGCAAGAAAGGAGUAAUCCGCUAAUAGAUGGGCUUGCGGCUGAUUAGCUAGUUGGUAAGGUAAUGGCUUACCAAGGCAACGAUCAGUAGCCGGGCUGAGAGGCUCUGCGGCCACAUUGGGACUGAGAUACGGCCCAG
rnacentral:rRNA from 1 species